UCCACUUGCCUCUCCCAAACCCCACUAUGCCGCCUCCAGCAGAACAAUAUGUAGUCCAGCCGCCACCACCAAAACCUGCUGUCACCUUCUCGCCGCUCCACAGCCUACGCUGCACCAGGGUUUCUAUUUCAUCAAUAGAAGUUCAAACCCAGACGAUGAUCCUUUUAAAGUUGUAGAUGUAGAUACCGAAAAGAUUAAAAGGGAGUAGGUUAAUGAGGAAGAAGAUUUGAAAACUAUAAAAAUGAUAUCCAUCUUUCGUUGUUAAUUCUGUUUUAUAAGGAUUUUAUAACACAAAAUAAUUGAAAAAAGUGUUGGUAAGGCCUAUUUAAAUCACUAAUAUGAGUAUUCCAGUUCAAUCGCUUUUUUUGUUUGAUGUUUGUUUAAAUUGAUUUGCAACAACGCCAUCGUUGAAUUAAGUUUUGCUUCAACAGAAUGUUAUCCCUAAACCUGAUGCAUCUAAACUCGAUGCCAAGGUUUGGGAUGCUAAAACAGGCGCCAACUUAUUCUACUUGAAGGGCAUGAUGCACCUGUUAGUUCUACAUGCCAACUCAUUCGUCUUUAUAGCGUGUGGAAACCGAAGAAAGUUUAUGAUGGGUCAACUACAUAAGUCGGGUUUGAGUUUGGGUCCAACUAUCCAACCUGCUAACCAGACACAAUCGACAGUACCGCGAUAUGUCUACAUGGAUUUGAUGAUUUCAUUUUUUUUUAAUUUAGCAUAGUUGUUGAAACAGGUGGAAGCAUAUUUUGCACAACUGUUGAUAUGCUAACUAUAUAAGUCGGGUUUGAGUUUGGGUUCAGCGGUCGCCACACCGUUCACAAGGACUCUGAUACGGUGAGUAUGCAGUCAAAUCUGGUAUACAACAUGUUUGUUUGCAAAGAUCAGGGGUAUACAUGUUUGUUGACAUGGAUGGGACGCACUUUCGGCGUGUUUUAUAUUGGUUGAGGGACGGCGUGGCUCCCAACUUGUCUGAUGUAGAGUGUUUAGAGCUUUCGUGGGAAGCAGAAUACUAUUAGCUUUUCGGACUUGUGGAAAGGAUAAAUGAGGAGGAAAAAAUGGAUACUGACUUAACACACACUAAGAUUAUCAAAUGUAUGUAAUGAUAUAGAAUCAAGUUUUAAGUUUUUUCAAUGGGUAUAGUUUCCCUCUUUUCUUUCCAGCGUGUCGGUUUUUCGAAAAGUUAAUCUGGCGACAUCAGUGAGUUUUAACUUAAAGUCUUAGAUCGUGACAUUGGAUUAUUUUGACGAUUCGUUUGAAGACCCGGGAUUCAUGGAACGACUCUACCGAGCUGUGGAUAAGAAGAAGGGAUAAAAAAAGCAACGAAAAUGACACGGACAAGGUAGAUUAAUGAUGUAUUUGCUUAGAAUUUAAGGGUUUCAAAACUUUAACUUAACCAAACAAAAUACUUUUGUUAUAGUUUUAUGUUUAAAAUUUGGUGUCUUAUGUUUACAA